UACGUAGGGUGCGAGCGUUGUCCGGAAUUAUUGGGCGUAAAGAGCUCGUAGGCGGUUUGUUGCGUCGGCUGUGAAAUCCCGAGGCUCAACCUCGGGUCUGCAGUCGAUACGAGCAAACUAGAGUGUUGCAGGGGAGACUGGAAUUCCUGGUGUAGCGGUGAAAUGCGCAGAUAUCAGGAGGAACACCGGUGGCGAAGGCGGGUCUCUGGGCAACAACUGACGCUGAGGAGCGAAAGCGUGGGGAGCGAACAGG
rnacentral:rRNA from 1 species